rnacentral:rRNA from 1 species
GGCGGACGGGUGAGUAACGCGUAGGAAUCUACCUAGUAGAAGGGGAUAGCCCGGGGAAACCCGGAUUAAUACCGUAUACCUCCUUUGGGAGAAAGAAGGCCUCUCUUUGAAGCUUUCGCUAUUAGAUGAGCCUGCGUAAGAUUAGCUUGUUGGUGAGGUAAAGGCUCACCAAGGCGACGAUCUUUAGCUGGUCUGAGAGGACGAUCAGCCACAUUGGGACUGAGACACGGCCCAGACUCCUACGGGAGGCAGCAGUGGGGAAUAUUGGACAAUGGGCGCAAGCCUGAUCCAGCCAUACCGCGUGUGUGAAGAAGGCCUUCGGGUUGUAAAGCACUUUAAGCAGGGAGAAAAAGUUAUAAGUUAAUACCUUAUAACCGUGAUGUUACCUGCAGAAUAAGCACCGGCUAAUUCCGUGCCAGCAGCCGCGGUAAUACGGAAGGUGCAAGCGUUAAUCGGAAUUACUGGGCGUAAAGCGCACGUAGGUGGUUUGUUAAGUUGGAUGUGAAAGCCCUGGGCUCAACCUAGGAACUGCAUCCAAAACUAACUCACUAGAGUACGAUAGAGGGAGGUAGAAUUCAUAGUGUAGCGGUGGAAUGCGUAGAUAUUAUGAAGAAUACCAGUGGCGAAGGCGGCCUCCUGGAUCUGUACUGACACUUGAGGUGCGAAAGCGUGGGUAGCGAACAGGAUUAGAUACCCUGGUAGUCCACGCCGUUAACGAUGACA